rnacentral:rRNA from 1 species
AUGAACGCUGGCGGCGUGCCUAAUACAUGCAAGUCGAGCGAACGGACGAGAAGCUUGCUUCUCUGAUGUUAGCGGCGGACGGGGGAGUAACACGUGGAUAACCUACCUAUAAGACUGGGAUAACUUCGGGAAACCGGAGCUAAUACCGGAUAAUAUUUUGAACCGCAUGGUUCCAAAGUGAAAGACGGUCUUGCUGUCACUUAUAGAUGGAUCCGCGCUGCAUUAGCUAGUUGGUAAGGUAACGGCUUACCAAGGCAACGAUGCAUAGCCGACCUGAGAGGGUGAUCGGCCACACUGGAACUGAGACACGGUCCAGACUCCUACGGGAGGCAGCAGUAGGGAAUCUUCCGCAAUGGGCGCAAGCCUGACGGAGCAACGCCGCGUGAGUGAUGAAGGUCUUCGGAUCGUAAAACUCUGUUAUUAGGGAAGAACAUAUGUGUAAGUAACUGUGCACAUCUUGACGGUACCUAAUCAGAAAGCCACGGCUAACUACGUG